rnacentral:lncRNA from 1 species
GAGUAAUAUACCAUGUCAGUUAUUAUUAUAAUUAUUGAAAGUAAAGCAAUCAGCUGAGCAAAAUAAUAUGAUAAGAAAUUGUGGUACUUCUUAUCCAAUUACAUGUGAUAAAUAACAUAAGACAUCUUAAUUUAAGGGAAAUAGAGUAAGAUAUAUAUUGACCCGUCCUAAAAUAUAAAUAUUAGUCAAUAAAAGUGAAUACAUUUGAUCUAAAUUUUAAAUCAAAUACAUCAAAUUUAUUUGACUCAUUUUUACUUAUAUUUUAAAACGAAUGAAGUAUGAUUUAAUUAUACUGCAAGGGAUACAAUACACUAAAGCAUGAAUGCAUCUAGUUUUCAUGGAUCUUCCUCCGGCUCUCCAUUUUCGACACCUUCUCCUCCGGGUCCUCCGUUUUCUUCGUCUCCCCAACCCGGUGCUUCAUUUUCUCUUCCAUUCCAAUCUCCUUCGUGUUCGUCUCCGCUUUCUCCUCCAUGUUCUUUGUCUUCUUCUCCUCCCCCACCUCCCCAACCUCCCCAAGUUCCCGAACCUACCCAAUCUCCAUGUCCUCCACCAUUUCCAUCUACUCCAACUUUUGUUUUGAAUUCUUCGGUUGCAUCAACUGAAAUUAAACAAACACGUUUAUUAAAUAUAACAAAAAGAUGAACGCAAUUAUGUGGAUAAUUUAUCUAUUUACAUUGUUUUCCAAAUUUGGAUGGCCUUAUUGCCACAACAGAGACAAGAAUUAUUGCACAAAGAAAAAACACGAAGAUAAAAGACUUGAUUUUCAUAUUUGAUCAACCAAGAUUUUAAUUCUAGUAAAUUAUUUGAUCAACCAAUAUAUACACAUAUAUUGUGAUGGGUCAUCGACACCACCUAAUGAGUAAAUUGGGCUCUU